UAAUCCUUCCCUGAAUACGCUCUCACUCACUGCUUGUACUGGGCGCUUCUGAAAUGUUGGAUUGCAUGUCAGGAUCUGUCGCGGUUGCAAACAGAGGCACAGAGCCCCGAGAAGACCGGGCCGCGGCCGUCCUGUCCCGGCAAAAUGAGACCGGGCUGCCCCGAGAAGCCCAGCAAGGCGGAGAUUUUUGCAGCCUAAUGCUAGGAUUCUUCUGCUUCUGGAGUUAUGCUCCUGGCCGGCGCGGAGAAUGUCCUGCUGUUUGCAGACGAUGCCGUCUCGGGCGGAGGCUUCGCCAGAACCCGGCUUCGCCAUGGCCGUCCCCUCUCCUGCGAUGGCCAUGGCCGUGGCGAACGGCGAUGCCCACGGGCCUCCGCAAUUGCUCCGCAAUUACUGCCGGCUCAUCGUACGCCAGUCGCGUCGGCAUGAAUGCGAACUGACGGCUGCGCGUCCCGUGCGUGUGCGUCGCCAAGGACGCCGUACCACUGCCUCUACGGCCUACAGCGAUCGGCCAGGCACAAAUAUUUACUGCUGGGUUAAGUUAAUUAGUAAUAACACGGCCGGCGACGAAGCCGUUACAGGUUUAUUACAGCUGGGAGCUGUGGAGAAGAGGGUGGGGGUGGCGGCGACCAUGGCCAUGUGAAACGGAACGGACAAAGCGUGGCCGCCAGGCGGGAACGGUAAAGCUGGUCCUGUCCCUCGCGCUCGCAAGCGUAAUAAUCGAUGGGUUUCGUACCUUGCUUUUACCAUGCAACGUCACUGCUCUGGCAUUGAGGCACUGUUUAGUUUCCACCCUAUAAACCCGUAAACACAAAAAA